rnacentral:rRNA from 1 species
GAUGAACGCUGGCGGCGUGCCUAAUACAUGCAAGUCGAGCGAACGGACGAGAAGCUUGCUUCUCUGAUGUUAGCGGCGGACGGGUGAGUAACACGUGGAUAACCUACCUAUAAGACUGGGAUAACUUCGGGAAACCGGAGCUAAUACCGGAUAAUAUUUUGAACCGCAUGGUUCAAAAGUGAAAGACGGUCUUGCUGUCACCUAUAGAUGGAUCCGCGCUGCAUUAGCUAGUUGGUAAGGUAACGGCUUACCAAGGCAACGAUGCAUAGCCGACCUGAGAGGGUGAUCGGCCACACUGGAACUGAGACACGGUCCAGACUCCUACGGGAGGCAGCAGUAGGGAAUCUUCCGCAAUGGGCGAAAGCCUGACGGAGCAACGCCGCGUGAGUGAUGAAGGUCUUCGGAUCGUAAAACUCUGUUAUUAGGGAAGAAGAUAUGUGUAAGUAACUGUGACCAUCUUGACGGUACCUAAUCAGAAAGCCACGGCUAACUACGUG